rnacentral:rRNA from 1 species
GGGUUGUGAGGUUAAGCGACUAAGCGUACACGGUGGAUGCCCUGGCAGUCAGAGGCGAUGAAGGRCGUGCUAAUCUGCGAUAAGCGCCGGUAAGGUGAUAUGAACCGUUAUAACCGGCGAUACCCGAAUGGGGAAACCCAGUGUGAUUCGUCACACUAUCAUUAACUGAAUCCAUAGGUUAAUGAGGCGAACCGGGGGAACUGAAACAUCUAAGUACCCCGAGGAAAAGAAAUCAACCGAGAUUCCCCCAGUAGCGGCGAGCGAACGGGGAGGAGCCCAGAGCCUGAAUCAGCAUGUGU